GCAGGGAUAGCCAAGCUAGGUCAACGGCGCAGGACUUAAGAUUCUGUCUCGAAGGGGUCCGAGGGUUCAAAUCCCUCUCCCUGCA
rnacentral:tRNA from 2 species